rnacentral:rRNA from 1 species
UUUAUGGAGAGUUUGAUCCUGGCUCAGGAUGAACGCUGGCGGCGUGCCUAAUACAUGCAAGUCGAGCGAACGGACGAGAAGCUUGCUUCUCUGAUGUUAGCGGCGGACGGGUGAGUAACACGUGGAUAACCUACCUAUAAGACUGGGAUAACUUCGGGAAACCGGAGCUAAUACCGGA